CUACGGAGGGUGCAAGCGUUACUCGGAAUCACUGGGCGUAAAGCGCGCGCAGGCGGUCUUUUAAGUUGGAUGUGAAAGCCUACGGCUCAACCGUAGAACUGCAUCCAAAACUAUUAGACUAGAGUGUGCGAGAGGAAGAUGGAAUUAGUUGUGUAGGGGUAAAAUCCGUAGAGAUAACUAGGAAUACCAAAAGCGAAGGCAAUCUUCUGGAACACUACUGACGCUGAGGCGCGAAGGCGUGGGGAGCAAACAGGAUUAGAAACCCCGGUAGUCC
rnacentral:rRNA from 1 species